rnacentral:misc_RNA from 1 species
AAGUCGUAACAAGGUUUCCGUAGGUGAACCUGCGGAAGGAUCAUUCACAAUAAGUGUUAUACUACACUUUUUAAAAAAGUACUCACCUUGUGUGCAAUGUUUUUUUUUUUUGUUGCUGUGCUUUUGGAUUUCAUCAACUGUACUUCAGCAUUAAAAUAAUACCAACCUUUUAUUUUGAAACGUUUUUGUCUGAAAAAUAUUUUGAAUAAAUCAAUUCUAAAUACAACUUUCAACAACGGAUCUCUUGGCUCUC